CACCAGUGUAAUUCUCCCCUUUGAAACUAACUUCAAACUCCAGUUUGUGAACAAAGUCCUGUCUGUCUUCUGAAUAGGAAUCUGAAUAGUCCGACCACUGACCAAACUCCAUUUGUUAACCACUGCCUAUUUGUACCUUCCACUGAAUGACUCUUUUUUCAUUCCACACGUCCGAUCCCAAUGGAAAGAGCUACUGAAGCUAAAAGAGAAUAAGUGGAGACAACAACUGGAGGAAAACCAAGAGUCAAUAAUAUUUGGAAUAUACUGUAUGGGAAAAUAUUUAUUUUUAGGAGAGCUCCAUCACAGGGCAAAUGAUUAUUUUCCUGAUGCAGCAAACUGGCUUAAAUGAAAAUCCUACAUCUGUACCUGGAGUGGUGAGGUGACCAUACAGUGUUCCAUGUUCUCCUCCAUACGUCCUCCUGACUGUGGAUAGCUGACCACUGAGAGUGACCAGGCCCAGGGACCAGACUGUAUGCCCAUCAGCCUCUCUCUCCCCUCUCACCGGGAGCACGCUGCAGUACUCCCGCAGGUCCGGCCUGAGCAGAGUGAGGGUGAAGGAGUGUGUGUCUGAGGGAGGGAGAACAAGGGGGGCUGUAGCCGGUGGGGAUGUAGGGCCAUAAGCCAUUCACCAAGGCCUGAGGUAAAAUGUGUGUGUGUAUGUGUGUGUGUGCGAGCCAGAGGCUGCAGCCACGUGACCAUGAAGUGGCAGCAGGGAUAAUCCUAUAAUGCCUGUCACAAUGAGAUUUGAUUGGAGUCUUGAACACUGGGCUUCAUAGUGUCAAGUGUACCGAGCAUGUAAUACCCCCAUCCACGCACACUGCUAAUGGGGAUCUCUGCUGGGUUUAAUACUGAAACACAUCUAGACUGUGUUAACUCAUUAUAGCAGUUGAGUCCAGCUCUUCAUUGGAAAAGAAAUGACAAACUCAAUAUGACUUUUAUAGUUAAAAAAUAUGAGGAGAAAAAGUUUCAGCAUGUAGCCUAUCCAAGCAUAGAGAGCAGUUAUAGCCAAAGAAUGAAUGACAAAUGAGAUGGUUUAGAGAUUAUGAAUGGAGAGAUACAGGAUGUGUCUGUCUGUGCUCUAAAGCAUAAGUCUACUGCACCAGAUCAGAAAACUUUCUCCACCUUAGUAAGGUAUUUAUCAUGUUAUUUGAAAAGGCAAAUGCUUUCCAAUGCCCUUUAUGCCAACACUGUCACUAUAUAUGAGUCAUAUACGGCAUCUCCUAAAUUCACACUGAAUCUUCAUCUCAAAUGGCAGAUCACUCCUGUCCAAUCCCAGUCCAGGAAAAUGUAUGAGUUAAUGCCAGAGGUCAGAUGUCAAAUGCUUCUGAAUGCCCACCCUGUUCCCUAUAUAGUGCACUAACUCUGGUCAAGUAGUGCUCUAUAUACUGCAGGCAAUAGAGUGCCAUUUCAGACGCAGCCCAGGUAAUGUCCACCAGGGACCAGAACUGCAGGUAAUGUCCACCAGGGACCAGAACUGCAGGUAAUGUCCACCAGGGAACAGAACUGCAGGUAAUGUCCACCAGGGACCAGAACUGCAGGUAAUGUCCACCAGGGAACAGAACUGCAGGUAAUGUCCACCAGGGACCAGAACUGCAGGUAAUGUCCACCAGGGACCAGAACUGCAGGUAAUGUCCACAAGGGACCAGAACUGCAGGUAAUGUCCACCAGGGACCAGAACUGCAGGUAAUGUCCACCAGGGACAAGAACUGCAGGUCAUGUCCACCAGGGACAAGAACUCAUAACUGCAGGUCAUGCCUGUGAAACAUUAACAUCAGUAUUUGUAAGUCUCCUGAUGCAUGAGAGACAAUUAGAAGAGACCUUAUCAACAGUGAUUUGCAGCAUUCUUGUGUCUGCACAAAGAAACAUAUAACCCAAGAUCUAGGCCAGAAAUAAGCUUAAACAGGGUAGUUGCCAAGGAAAUGUAUUUGCAACAUACAGUAAAUGUCCUGGUUUGUGAAGCUCUUUUAAGCACUCAGAGGUAACACAUUCCUUGAGAAAAAUGCAGGUAUUGUACUCAGUGUUAUUUAUUUAUAUAUUUUUAUUUAUCCCCUUUUCUCCCCAAUUUCGUGGUAUCCAAUUGGUAGUUACAUUCUUGUCUCAUCGCUGCAACUCCCGUACGGACUCGGGAGAUGCGAAGGUCAAGAGCCGUGCACUGCGCCACAGGAGUCGCUAGUGCGCGAUGGGACAAGGACAUCCCUGCCGGCCAAACCCUCCCCUAACCCGAAUGACGCUGGGCCAAUUGUGCGCCACCCGAUGCAGUACCUUAGACCACUGUGCCACUCGGGAGGCAGUUAUACACUUCUUACGACUAGUCGGCUCUCGACAGUAUGAACCAGCACAAAGUAAAGCAACAGCUGGUGUGUUCCACCAUAUAGAGCACCACAGUGGAGGUGUCAUAAUACCCAUAAAACCUAGCGGUCAAACAGGGAAAUGGUUCCAAUAGUUGUUCCACCAUCCAUUUUUCCCAUAUAAGAUUAAAGAAACACUUCAAAUAAGUGCUGUGUUGGUGUAUGCUUACACUGGCAUGACGUUUUGAUAACCAUGUCAAUCUCUCUCGUACAAGGUGGCUUUUAUCAAUAUAUUCGGCUCUAUUUACUCUCAGAUUCAAAAAUGCUAAUUAGCAUCAAAGUAGAUAUCAUGCAAAACUACAAAUACCUACAAGCUCUAGCUGACACCUUUCCUGACAGGUACUGUGUCCAUUUAAAACUUGCACAAGACAGUUCACAGAAUUGUCCAUUUAAAUAAAUGUAGCCAAUUUAUUCAUUACCAUAUUUAGCUAGCAUUAGAUGGUUAAUUCAGAGAUUUGCACCUUUGCUUUGAUUCGGCAGUCUCGUCCAGAUCAUCAUGGCAUUUGUAGGUCUUUAAGAUAAAAGUCACCUUGCCCUAAAGAGAUAUACACAGUUAUCAAAACGUCACGUCAGGGUAAGUCUACAAGAAUCACAGCCCUUAUUUGAAGUGUUUCUAAAAUCUCCUAUGGGAAGAAUUAAUGGUGGAAAAACCAUUUCCCUGCUUGACCACUGGGGUUUAUUCACUGAAACCUGAGAAAGUGCUUUGAACAUUUGACUGUAUUAUAAAGGAAAGAUGGUACAGUACAAUAAAACCAGGAAGGGGCAACUAAUAUCGUCAGUUUGGUUGGUCAAAGGUGUUUUGCAUCUCCUUGACUUAAAUGUAAAUUACACCAUGUGUGAUCAAUGACAUAAUGACAAUAAAUCCCCAAGCCAUUCAUGCAUAGGCCACAGUACACUUCUGAAAAGGCAUGUUCUGACACUGCAGUGUAACUGAGUCACACUCAGUUUGCAGAUGCUGUCAGGUGUUUUCCUAGUUUUUCCCAGGUGGUUCCCAUGUGUUUUUCAGGUGAAAGUCCAGUGUUGUCCUCUGACAGAGUCUGAGGCUGCUCUCCACACCUUUCCACUAUCCUGGCCACAAUUCCACCCAGAUUCACUCUGACAAAGUGUUUUACGGUGCUUGACACUCUAACAGGACUCCUCCUGAAAUGUGCUGUUAUGAUUACAUUCAGCCCACUGCCUAUAGCGGUCCUUCAUUCAUCAUGUUAUGCUACACUCCGAAGCUUUCACAUCAGUCUCAUCAGUCAGUCUCAGCUUAUUAUGGAGCCCUUUUUAACAACCUUCAUAUCGUCGCCACACCUCCUAGAUUGCAGUCGUGUCAAAACAAAUGGCGAUGAUAUUUUCUACAUUGAAUGGACCUGCCAUAAGAGAAACCCUCUGCAGUGUGUAUUGUACACUACAGUUUAAACAAAGUCAACAGUUGGUGUGAGCUCCACCAUAAUGCACCGAAACCGUGAGAUGAUAAAAGACAGAAACUGUGUACUCACCACCAGCGAAUGGAAACUCCAUGCUUGUACUGACUUGGAAGUUUACAUUAACCAUCUCUCUCCCUGUUUCUUUCUUAUGUGUUUUCUUUUUCUUCUGUAUUCCCAAAGUUCUAGGGUUUAAAAUAUGGAAGUUAGCCACUGGCUGCGUUAUAAUGAGGAAGGUGGUGUUGGUGCGAGGUAAGGCCCCAGCAUUAGGCAGGUACUUCGAGCUGUUAUCUUAUUGAUUUUUCUAAUCUGAGGAAAAUGUGGGCGGAGAUGUUAAACAGUAACCAGGCUCAUAAAGAGACCACAUAUAUAUGGCAGGAAGCUUUCGCUAUAGAAACAAGAUGGUAGAAACAAAAAGCCUGUCUGUAGGCAAGUUUAUUUUAUUAAUGUGCAUUGAGUAAAGGAAGGAAGGAAGAACAGGAGUAAAUGAAGGAACGAAGAACUCCCCUGCAAGAGGGAAGGUGGAAAAAAGGGACAUGAAAGAGAGAGAGGACUUGAGAGGGUGUCACCUCCCCACCUCAGGAUGGUGAGUGUGAAUUCUCCAGGUUACGCAAUGAAUGAACAGAAAAAUACUGCACAAAUACAGUAACAUACAAAUAUCCCUGCGAAUUGCAGUAAGUUGAUAACAUGGUACAGGUCAAGUUCUCUUCUCACACUGAUAUUGUUACAAAGUAGUUCAUUCGUUUCCCUUGUGGGUACUUUCACUUUUGGUUGCAUGUAUGGGUCAGUUGCUGUCCUGAAAUGGAAUUUCCCAUGUUGGCCAUUUCCCACAGAAUCAGAUAUCCUCUGAACACGUUGAAAUGUUUGUUGAUUGAGUAGGAGUCGUAUAAUUUCACUCUUCAAAUAUAUUUUACAAGCAUGAACAUGUAAAGAGGGGUGUAUGCAGUACAUAUUAAGACUUCAUGGUAGAGUAUUGGAUUAUCGGUGUGAACCAUUUUGGACAUGGAAUAAAAUACAAAAAUCAUAUUUUCAUCCCCGUCUCUCAUUGUUAAUGGAUAUAAACCAAUUGAAUCUCAUAAUUAUGACCAUAAAAGCCUCAUUAGAGUCCAGUUUAAUAGUGGAGAUUGAUUCUCCAUAUUAAUCUGCAGAGAGUCUAUGAGGUGAAAACCAGUAGAGUGGAUCCCCUAGCCCCCCUUAGACUCCCCUAGUCUCACCUUUCCUAGCCUCUCCUAGCCUCACCUUUCCUAGCCUCCCCUAGCCUCACCUUUCCUAGCCUCCCCUAGUCCCCUUAGCCUCCCCUAGCCUCACCUUUUCUAGCCUCCCCUAGCCUCUCCUAGCCUCCCUUAGCCUCACUUCCCCUUGACUCUCCUAGCCUCCUCCUAGCCUCUCCUAGCCUCUCCUAGCCUCUCCUAGCCUCCACUAGACUCCUAGUUAAAUGAAAACAGAUGCAGGCCAGGGGACAUUUGAGAUAACAUGCACAUGUAGCCAGUCAUAGUUUCCAAUUUAUAAUAUCUAUGCUGACAUGCUGUGUUUAGGUGUACAUUAAUAUUAAGAUGGGAUUGGCAAGGAAGAAAUAGGAAGAAAAUCUCAUUUUAAUACAGAUAUAAGUGAAAAAGCAACCUGGAACUGUAAGGUUUAAACACCCACUACUGAAUUAAACUCCUUUCUUUUUUAUUCAAAUAAUUAUUGACAGUUAUUUCACAUUCAGGCCAAUCAUGAGCUGUAAUAAGUGUAUUACGAUGUUAUAUAAAAAAAAGAAUUGGUCUACAAGAGAACAAAUAACCAACAUGAUCUCUAAAUCUACAGUAAACAAAUUUGUUAUAAAAUAAUAAUAAUAAUAAUAAUAAUAAUUAUUAAAAAACAGUAAAUAUAAAAGUGCUUAUUUUUAGCUUCGCAAAAUGUCAAUCAAGAGCCAUAUAAUCAACCAAGAGCAGUGCAAACAAUUUGUGGAUUUAUCAAACACGUUGGCGUAAGCAUACAAAUACACUACAUGACCAAAAGUAUGUGGACACCUUCUCAUCAAACAUCUAAUUUCAAAAUCAUGGGCAUUAAUAUGGAGUUGUUCCCCCCUUUGCUGCUAUAACUGCCUCCACUCAACUAGGACGGCUUUCCCCUAGAUGUUGGAACAUGCAGGGACUUGCUUCCAUUCAGCCACAAUAGCAUUAGUGAGGUCGAGCACUGAUGUUGGGCAAUUAGGCCUGGCUCGUAGUUGGUGUUCCAAUUCAUCCCAAAGGUGUUCGAUGGGGUUAAGGUGGGGUUAAGGUCAGGGCUAUGUGCAGUCAAUUCAAGUUCUUCCACACCAAUCUCACCAUACUAUUUCUGUAUGGACCUGUAUGGACCUCUCUUUGUGCACGGGUGCAUUGUCAUGCUGAAACAGGAAAGGGCCUUUCCCAAACUGUUGCCACAAGCCACAAAGUUGGAAGCACAGAAUCGUCUAGAAUGUCAUUGUAUGAUGUAGCGUUAAAAUUUCUAUAGACUGGAACUAAGGGGCCCGAACCAUGACAAACAGUCCCAGACCAUUAUUCCCCCUCUACCAAACUUUACAGUUGACACUAUGCAUUGGGGGCAGGUAGUGUUCUCCUGGCAUCGCGAUUCAUCACUCUGGAGAAUGCGUUUCCACUGCUCCAGAGUCCAAUGGCGGCAAGCUUUACACCCCUCCAGCUGACGCUCGGCAUUGCCAUUGGUGAUGUUAGGCUUGUAAGAGGCUAAUCGGCCAAAACCCAUUUCAUGAAGCUCCAGACUAACCAUUCUUGUGCUGACGUUGCUUCCAGAGGCAGUUUGGAACUUGGUAGUGAGUGUUGCAAACGAGGACAGACAACUUUUAUGAUUUAAACGCGAAACACACUUCAGCACUCAACGAUCCCAUUAUGUGAGCUUGUGUGGCCUACAACUUCACUGUUGAUACUCCUAGACGUUUUCACUUCACAAUAACAGCACUAACAGUUGACCGGGGCAGAUCUAUCAAGGCAGACAUUUCAAGACCUGACUUGUUGGAAAGGUGGCAUCCUAUGGCGGUGCCACAUUGAAAGUCAAUGAGAGAUUGCAUGACGGUGUUCUUGCUGACACCUGUCAGCAAUAUGUGUGGCUGAAAUAGAGAAUCCACUGUUUUGAAUGGGGUGUCCACAUACUUUUGUAUAUAUAGUGUACAUUGCACUCAUCUUCUUAACAUUUUCAAAAAAGGCCAUAAUCAAAUGAAUACAACAGAAGUACUGUCUGGUGUUUGGUAGCUGGGUUCUUUCUGUGUCAUGGCGAGAAAAUGGAGUUUUGCAACCCAAGAGUUUACAUAGAUUUACGUUCACAACAUCAUGACCGAGGGGGAAAAACAUUCUUUCCCUAACAUCCAGUGGAUGGAUCAAACAUUAGUUUAUGAUAAACACAAAAAUAGUGGUACUAUAAUUGAAUCGCUGAAAAAAAAGCAGGUCUUGUGCUUUGAUUAGUUUUUAUGUUUAGAAAUCCUUCACCUUUCUUUCACACACCCUCUCUUGCAGUUGUUUGUUGCUGAGAUGAAUGGAACAGAAUAAUUGACCAGAAACAAUGAACUCUUAAAAGUCUUCCAUUAUAACAGGGAAAGUAUGACUGAUGUCUUUCUAAUACCUUUUUCUUUUCUUGGCUUUGGCUUUUGAACCACUGAAGGAACACUGCUUUCUGUUACAUGAACCUCCAUAUUUUGAUGGACAGGCAGAGCACGGUUUGCCACUCUUAUAGGGAGCCUCUCCAACCCAGUUCCCCCUGGAAGAGAAAUAAAACAUGGUUAACUGCU